CCGCUUAGGACGUGGAGACGGUUGGAAGAGGAGCGUUAGGGCUUGUAAGUGGGGUUCGUAGAGUGACGCUUCGUCGUCUCGAUAUAGCGCGAGGGCUCGGGAUCGAGAUUGGCGUUGCUGGCGCACGAGGUAGGCGGAGGCGCACGCCCGGCGGUUUCUGACGAGCGGGGGCAGCAUAGGCGAGAGACUCCAAAAGGGGAUGCAGCGGCGCCUCACCGCCUGGUAGCGGUUCCCCACCCGCACGCGGCGGCGGCGGCACAUGACGGAGAGCGCGUGCCACGGGCGGCGCCCGUCCCGGCCGGGACUCCCCCCCGCCUUCCCCGCCGGCGGGGCCCGGGGGCUCAUGCUUCCCCGGGGGCUAACGAACCAAAGGUAUUUUGUAUGCACUACAAUCGGGUACAUUUUAGCUGACUUAAGAUAUCUUUCCCCUUUUUUCCGUUGUCUAGCGUUAGAAGAGCGGAACGGCGUGCCCGCAUUAGAAGAGGCUAAAAAUGAGGCUAAGGGACGGUGACCUCUGCGAUUAGUGUUCGUUUUAACGGCCGGCUAAUCGUGUGUGCUGAGACCCUAGGCUCUAACGUUGACGACUUGCCGGUCCUUUUGUCAUGAACACGGGAUAAACCGCCUGCUUAGUCGGGGUUCCAACUGACGCGGGGGCGGGUACGGAAGAUUAGUGCUAAAAGACGACGACGUGCACUAAUGACCUUCUUCUCUUCCCUACCGGCGUCCUCUGUAGCGCGUGGCCUAGUGCCUACUCCGCCUGCUGCAGCGCCUGCGACACAUGAGACAAGAGUUAUGUUAACACGGCUGUUCGAACGUUAACUAUCGUUACCCAUGAGUUUACCACCGUUAUUUAGGGGUCGAGAGUAAUCAACGUCGUUACCAUUAAGGUACGUACAGGUAUCAGUAACGUUUCGAACCACUUUCUGAGGCAGUUUAUAGGUUCCUCCGUGUAGAAUCGGAGCGGUACGAGCGUCGGAUAGAGUUGCUACAUGAAGGUAGCUACGAGUGACACUUCCAUUUGUUACCCCUCGUGUUUCUCUACAAUUCUAAGGUACUCAACCGAAAACAACUAGACUUCUUAUUAAACCCAUUCUUCUUCUACUUUCGAGAGUAUGGAGUUCGACAAGCAUGAUGUAUGUAACGUCCGGACCAUCACGAAACACGACCAAGUCAUCGUCAAAGACCUUGGUGUAAACUAGGGCUCCCCAAAGAAAGAAAGGAUUGUCGUGAACGAGAAAAACAACUCGGAUAAGUCCUAAAACCGUUCCGUAUGUUACUUAUAUUCGUUCCUCUUGGUCGUAAUCUUGCGUAUAAACUAAAUUGUUCCAAGUAGGGACUCCACUCCCUAUUUGGUUCACGUCAAGUAAAUUUAAGACAAUUCCCUCUAUAAUUCAAGGUACUACAAUGUAAAUCUAUACAACGACCAUACGGUGGUUGUCAUCUACCACACUUAGAAGUAUAGUCUCGUCCUCUUUGAUAACGAUAACAACCUGGUAGACCACCUCCCUUUUGGUGAGAACGGUUUAAUGAGGAGGCAGAAAUAGUAGGUGUUUCACCUGUAUAUCGAGACCUGUUGGUACUAUAAGUUCUGUAAGUCAACGUCACGAACUCUUGUGUAUAACGCAAACAAAGUGUCCUGGGCUACAAUAAAAGGCCAUGUUAACGACUUUUAUAACGCAUACCACUGGGAUACCCUCUAUAAUUAUACUCUUUUCAACUCUUACGACGAUUCUAACGGUUACGGUUACUCAAGUGAUUCUAUAACGGUUUCCCUAUACUGAGCAUAUAUCCUGUCUCUCCAAGAUCAAAUUCACCGCCCGUUUUUGUUUCCAAUAGAUAGCGUUCCCGUUAGAUGGUUUUGAGAAGGUAUGACCAUGACCUACUUCGUUGCAGACGAGACCUAUCGUCCAGACUCGACGAUGACUUUCUUCAUGACUACUUAAACUACCGUUCGGUGUGACAACAGUAGUAACGAGUAGCCGACCUCUACUAGGACUACCGACUAUCUUAACAAAAUGAUCUCCCGCCAUUUAAUGCUCUCUAGUGCUCCAGCCGAAAGAACAGGGAUCUACCGGCGAAGCCAAGUGGUGGUCUACAGGAGUCAGCUCUUAAUCCUCUCCGAACUCUGAUACUCCCUUUUCACCAAACAACGCGACGUUACGCCUGCAACUCGGCGUCCGUACUAAACUACUCACUAGUUUGCCACCUUCGUCGUACAAAGGCACCUGCGGACAGCCGGUCUUUUCGAGGGAACAUUAUUCGCGUAAACCCGAAGGUUUAGCGACUUGCAGUCCUAGUCCAUGGUUUGGUUCACCACGCCAAUUGCUAUUACGGUGUUCUCUCUUAGUCGUUUAAUUACCAUACUCUACCAUCUGAAUUGCUGUUCAUAUUUUAGUACUGAACUAAAGUUAUAUAAUACGGUUUAACCAGACAACAUUACAAUUGACGCCGUCGUGUCGUUGGUGUGUCCGUGUGUCGA
rnacentral:rRNA from 1 species